rnacentral:tRNA from 1 species
CCUGGUGGCUCAGAUGGUAAAGAAUCUGCCUGCAAUGCAGGAGACCAGGGUUCGAUCCCUGUGUCUGGA